rnacentral:rRNA from 1 species
AGAGUUUGAUCCUGGCUCAGGAUGAACGCUGGCGGCGUGCUUAACACAUGCAAGUCGAACGGGAAAUACUUCAUUGAGACUUCGGUGGAUUUGAUUUAUUUCUAGUGGCGGACGGGUGAGUAACGCGUGGGUAACCUGCCUUAUACAGGGGGAUAACAGUCAGAAAUGGCUGCUAAUACCGCAUAAGCGCACAGAGCCGCAUGGCUCAGUGUGAAAAACUCCGGUGGUAUAAGAUGGACCCGCGUUGGAUUAGCUAGUUGGUGGGGUAACGGCCCACCAAGGCGACGAUCCAUAGCCGGCCUGAGAGGGUGAACGGCCACAUUGGGACUGAGACACGGCCCAGACUCCUACGGGAGGCAGCAGUGGGGAAUAUUGCACAAUGGGGGAAACCCUGAUGCAGCGACGCCGCGUGAAGGAAGAAGUAUCUCGGUAUGUAAACUUCUAUCAGCAGGGAAGAUAGUGACGGUACCUGACUAAGAAGCCCCGGCUAACUACGUGCCAGCAGCCGCGGUAAUACGUAGGGGGCAAGCGUUAUCCGGAUUUAUUGGGUUUAAAGGGAGCGUAGGCGGGCUUUUAAGUCAGCGGUCAAAUGUCACGGCUCAACCGUGGCCAGCCGUUGAAACUGUAAGCCUUGAGUCUGCACAGGGCACAUGGAAUUCGUGGUGUAGCGGUGAAAUGCUUAGAUAUCACGAAGAACUCCGAUCGCGAAGGCAUUGUGCCGGGGCAGCACUGACGCUGAGGCUCGAAAGUGCGGGUAUCAAACAGGAUUAGAUACCCUGGUAGUCCGCACGGUAAACGAUG